rnacentral:lncRNA from 1 species
UACUUUUUUCUUUUGGGUGAAAAAGUGCGUACCUUCAUACGGUUAAACAUAAACUUUUUUGAAAAGGAAGGUUAAACAUAAACUUGUAACUCUUAAAUUAAGAAUAGCGAAAUAGAAUACCAAUCAUAAUUAAAUAUAAGUUAUGCUCUUGAUGUAGUAUAAUAUAGGAGAAUGAGAAUUGAGCUACAUUAACUAAUUUCAUCAAUAUAAUUUACGCCCUUUUGUUUCAUUCGAAUGCAUAUAGGCAUAAUCAUAGCAAAAAAAUUACACAAUCCUCGUUAAUAUAAUAGAUAUAAUAGAGUGACUCAUUGCAAUAAAAUAUCUAUAAUAAAGUGGCUCAUUGCAAUAAAAGAUUUAUCUAGAUUCUUAUCUAAGAAUGAUUAAGUUAGCGACUCAUCCGUUUUGGAUAUCUGAAAAUCUGUUGGAAGAAAGUAGCAUUAGCAAUUAGAUUCAAAUGAAAAGGUGUAUCAACCUCAUAAUCCAUCAAGCCAUUAAAAUUCCAUUCUUUUUAAAAUCUAGAAAAUGCUUUUUUAUGUCUUUUUUAAGGGAGGAAGAGGUAGAUGAAAAUAAUGAAAAACAAAUUGUGUAUAUAUAGGAAAAAAAACCAUUUCAUGAUAAAUUUUGAUUGGCUAAUGAAAAAUAAAUGAGUUAUGAUCC